rnacentral:rRNA from 1 species
GGCAAGGGCGGCGUCCUAUACAUGCAGUCGAACGAACUCUGGUAUUGAUUUAGGUGCUUGCAUCAUGAUUUACAUUUGAGUGAGUGGCGAACUGGUGAGUAACACGUGGGAAACCUGCCCAGAAGCGGGGGAUAACACCUGGAAACAGAUGCUAAUACCGCAUAACAACUUGGACCGCAUGGUCCGAGUUUGAAAGAUGGCUUCGGCUAUCACUUUUGGAUGGUCCCGCGGCGUAUUAGCUAGAUGGUGAGGUAACGGCUCACCAUGGCAAUGAUACGUAGCCGACCUGAGAGGGUAAUCGGCCACAUUGGGACUGAGACACGGCCCAAACUCCUACGGGAGGCAGCAGUAGGGAAUCUUCCACAAUGGACGAAAGUCUGAUGGAGCAACGCCGCGUGAGUGAAGAAGGGUUUCGGCUCGUAAAACUCUGUUGUUAAAGAAGAACAUAUCUGAGAGUAACUGUUCAGGUAUUGACGGUAUUUAACCAGAAAGCCACGGCUAACUACGUGCCAGCAGCCGCGGUAAUACGUAGGUGGCAAGCGUUGUCCGGAUUUAUUGGGCGUAAAGCGAGCGCAGGCGGUUUUUUAAGUCUGAUGUGAAAGCCUUCGGCUCAACCGAAGAAGUGCAUCGGAAACUGGGAAACUUGAGUGCAGAAGAGGACAGUGGAACUCCAUGUGUAGCGGUGAAAUGCGUAGAUAUAUGGAAGAACACCCAGUGGCGAAAGCCGCUGUCUGGUCUGUAACUGACGCUGA